GCAAAAUAUGAUCUUUCCCUUGGCUUUUUCAGGGGAAAGAGAGUCCUCAAGGCAAAGUCUGCAACAAUUUAUCAGGUAUUGUUUUUCAUUAAGCUCACCAAGAUUCUCUGGCCAUUUCCAAGCACAACAGGCGCACGAAACUCCCUGUCGACGCUGCUAGCCCCAACAGUAAGUAUCCACGGAGCAGGGUUAGACAAAGUCCCCGGCCCAGGGCCACUGUUCCCAGCACUACAAAUCACAGUGAUGUUUUUCUUGGCAGCAUGCAAUGCUCCAAUGGCAAUGCCAUCAUCACUGUAGUUAACAGGCUUCGUCGUCCCUAUUGAGAUGCUCAUCAAGUGGACGCCAUCUGCAAUGGCGUCAUCCAUGGCUGCAAGCAUGUCUUCCAUGAAGCAUGUGUUUCCCUCAGCCUUCUGUCUGCCGGGUAUGGCCCAACAAACCUUGUAGAUGGCUAGCCUGGCAAGUGGUGCACCCCCGGAAGCUGUGCCAUUGGCAAAACCACCGAGAGCAGAGGCGCCAGGUACUCUUCGGCCUGCCACGGUGGAGGCAGUGUGAGUACCAUGGCCGUCUUUGUCACGGGGCGAACGGUAGUCCUCUGAUGUGUUUAGACGGCCAUAAUAUUGCUCGAAACCUUUGAGGUAAUAUCUUGCUCCAAUUAUCUUCCUGUGUAAAAUAAAGUCAAGAAAUUUAUGUCAAUAUUUGAAAUUCACCACUCUUUUUUAGAGGAUUUGAUACUAACGUUAAUGUGAAAACUUGAUUAUUUACACAAUAAAUAUUUGUGUCAGAACAUUAAUUUACACAAAUUAGUACUA